rfam:Otolemur garnettii contig078459, whole genome shotgun sequence.
AGAAAUGUGCAGUGGCAGUAUCGUAGCCAAUCAGGUUUAUCUGAGGCAUGAUUAUUGCUAAUUGAAAACUGUUCCCAAUAUGCUCCUGUGAUGACUUGCAAUAUAGUUAGCACUGGCAAUUUUUUUUUUUUUUGAGA